rnacentral:rRNA from 1 species
GCCCGGUAGCUAAAUGCGGAAGAGAUAAGUGCUGAAAGCAUCUAAGCACGAAACUUGCCCCGAGAUGAGUUCUCCCUGACUCCUUGAGAGUCCUGAAGGAACGUUGAAGACGACGACGUUGAUAGGCCGGGUGUGUAAGCGCAGCGAUGCGUUGAGCUAACCGGUACUAAUGAACCGUGAGGCUUAACCUU